rnacentral:sRNA from 1 species
GCUUCUCAAAGCUUUGAUUGUGUAACCGAAGUCCGUAUAAAUCUUUGACUUUAUUUUCAAACAAAGAAACACUACUUACGCUUUUAAGAUCUGGUUGCUAUUCUAGUUCUUAUACUCAAUCAUACACAUGCAAUCUAGUCAUUUUUGACG